rnacentral:lncRNA from 1 species
GCCGGUCCGUGAUUGGGCUUGUUGCUGCUGGUUUAGCUGGUGGCUCGUUUGUUCAGGCUGUCCUCGCCGAUGCUAUUUCGAUCAAAGUUGGCCCUCCUCCAGCUCCUUCCGGUGGCCUUCGUAAGUUAACUAACAAACUAAUCUUCCAAUAUGAUAUUCAUUCUCAUUGUUAAUGAGAUUAGGAAUUUAAACGUGAUUUAAGUUAUGUAGAUGAAAAAACCAUAAAAUGUAGUCUUUAAAUGUGGAUGUUUUUGUAUAAGAAUAUAAGAGACUCCAUAAUAAUCAAGCAUGUGUAUGAAUGUUUCAUUCGGAUUUGGGUUAGAGUUCAUAAUAAGCAAGCAAACAUGUGUUCGAGUUAGUUCUUAUAUCGAUUUUUCUGGUAUAAACACACUUAACUCGAUCUCUAUAUGACAUACGACGGUAGAUAUAUAACACUUACACAUUGUUUUAUGUUUUAUGAGGUGACAACAAUUUGUUUUGUUUGGUGAGCAGCUGGGACAGAUAACUCAGACCAAGCAAGAGACUUUGCAUUGGCAUUGAAAGACAGGUUUUACUUACAGCCAUUGCCACCAACAGAAGCUGCAGCUAGAGCCAAAGAAUCUGCAAAGGAUAUCAUAAAUGUGAAGCCAUUGAUCGACAGGAAAGCUUGGCCAUAUGUUCAAAACGAUCUUCGUUCCAAGGCUUCUUAUCUUCGUUAUGAUCUUAACACAAUCAUUUCCUCCAAACCCAAGGAUGAGAAGAAGUCACUCAAGGAUCUCACCACCAAGCUCUUCGAUACC